CCCUCCCUCUGGCUUCGUGCUUAACACAUGCCAGUCGAACGGAAAGGCCCUGCUUUGUUGGGGUGCUCUAGUUGCGAACGGGUGAGUAACACGUGAGUAACCUGUACUUGACUUUGGGAUAACUUCAGGAAACUGGGUCUAAUACCGGAUAGGAUCUACUGCUGCUUGGUGGGGGUUGGAAAGUUUCGGCGGUUGGUGAUGGACUCGCGGCUUAUGAGAUUGAUGGUGGGGUAGUGGCUUAGCAAGGCUUUGACCGGUAGCCGGGCUGAGAGGGUGAGCGGCUAAGUUGGGACGGAGAUACGGCACAGACUACUAUGGGAGGCAGCGGAGGAGAAUGGUGCAUUAUGGGCGGAAGGCAGAUGUAGUCACGCCGCGUGGGGGAUGACGGCAUGCGGGUUGUAAACCGAUUUUGCCUGUGACGAAGCGUGAGUGACGGUACUGGGUAAAGAAGCACCGGCUAACUACGUG
rnacentral:rRNA from 1 species